AUUUAGUUGAGCACUCUAGUGAGACUGCCCGGGUUAACCGGGAGGAAGGUGGGGAUGACGUCAAAUCAUCAUGCCCCUUAUGUCUAGGGCUACACACGUGCUACAAUGGUGGGGACAAAAAGAUGCAAUAUCGCAAGGUGGAGCAAAACUCAAAACCCCAUCCCAGUUCGGAUUGUAGGCUGAAACUCGCCUACAUGAAGCCGGAGUUGCUAGUAAUCGCGAAUCAGAAUGUCGCGGUGAAUACGUUCCCGGGUCUUGUACACACCGCCCGUCACACCAUGAGAGUCGGCAACACCCGAAGCCCGUGAGGUAACCUGAGGUAACCUUUUGGAACCAGCGGUCGAAGGUGGGGUUGAUAAUUGGGGUGAAGUCGUAACAAGGUAGCCGUAGGAGAACCUGCGGCUGGAUCACCUCCUUUCUAAGGAG
rnacentral:rRNA from 1 species